UUGAAAAUGAAUAUUCUUUAAAAAGUGAUGAUAAGAGUCUUCUAAUCAAGAUCAAGAGUAUAGAUCUUGUUUUAAAUAGUUUAAAGAAUUUUUUAACAAAAAUGCAAUUGAUUUGGACAUCUUUACGCCGUUAAAUGAGAAAACGUCUCAUAUCGACCAUUAAAAUUACAAAUUUUGAAACCCUUUAUCAUUAGGAAAAUGAUGUCGAAAAGAUUUGAAAUUUGAUUUCUAAACACUUCAAGUGGUAUAGAUCAUGUUCAACGGUGUCGAUCGUCAAUUUGGAGGCUCUAUCAUCGAAAACAUAUAGGUGGCAACGGAGCCCGUUUGCUAUCGAUAGUAUUCUAGCUUAACUCUAUAUGUAUAUAAUUGAGUUUCUAUGCUUUUAAAAAUAGCGAGUCAUUGGUACUUAUAAAUUUUCACCUUGAUUAAGGAAUACACGGUUAGACUAAUAGUGG
rnacentral:lncRNA from 1 species